GCUGUGCUCUCUGUCCUGCCGCUGGAUGCUGUGGAGGGUGUUAAGGCAAGCUUCGAAGUUGCGACAUGGAUGCAUUGACUUAUGAUGAUGUGCAUAUGAACUUCACUCGAGAAGAAUGGGCUUUGCUGAAUGCUUCACAGAAGAGUCUUUACAAAGAUGUGAUGUUGGAGAACUACAGAAACCUCAUUGCUGUAGGCAUAAAAGAAGUCUUACUGGAGAGAAACCCUAUGAAGGCAUUCAGUACUGUGAAACCUUUCUACAUCACAGUAGUCUCCAAAUGCAGAAAAUAACACACACUGGAGAGAAAUGCUACAAAUGCAGUCAAUGUGGUAAAGCCUUUGCAGGACACCAUACUCUCCAAAUACAUGAAAGAACACAUAGUGGAGCGAAAGCCUAUGAAUCUAAUGAUGGUGUGAGUAGAAGCAUAUGUAUGAAGAUAUCUAAUUGAUAAAUGUUAAGUAGCUGCUUCUUUUUCUUCAUCCAUACACUGUAAUGUGUAAGGAUAGAGUCCUUUUGCAAACAAGCAUUCCAAACAGGAAACAUUCCACCUUCUCCUCUUCAGAAAACAUCUAAAGGACAAAACUAAAGAAAAAACAUGGCAUACGUUCCUAUACUCAGAGCAACCUGCUGCCAAGACAGUGAAGGAAGCAGAGCAUGAACACAGCGGAUCACAGAACAUGCUCUCUUAUGUAAAUCAUUAAAGAUUUCAAAGUGAACGUUGGUAUAGUUCUUAGAAAACAUGAGAAUAAUAUUUGUGUCUAGGAAAAACGACUGCCUCAUAUCUCUAAGGGAAAAGGAAGAUUAAAGGUAAUUCCUCUUAAACGCAUUCACGACCGGCCAGGAAGAACGCAACAAACCGGAAUCUUCUGCGGCAAAACUUUAUUGCUUACAUCUUUAGGAGCAAGAGUGCAAGAGAGCAAGAGCUCUAUUGCUUACAUCUUUAGGAGCCAAAGCGCAAGAGUGCAAGAGCAAAAGCAAGAGUGCAAGCGCUUUAUUGCUUACAUCUUCAGGAGCAAGAGAGCAAGAGAGAGAAUGGCGAAA
rnacentral:lncRNA from 1 species